CACCUUUGGUGGGAAGACCCAGCAGGGAGUCAUAUUUAUAUUUCACAGAAGUGUAGGAGUACUGAACACUAAGCCUUCCUGGGUUUUCCAGCCCCUGUGAGCAGCUGGACAUAUCCCAGACUUCUUUGGCUCUGCCCUUUGAAAAGGUCUAGAAACACCUGUAUACUCUGGGAGAAGAAACAUGUGUACCUGCGUGGCAAAAACUCACUGAACCUAAUGUUCCAUGCCCAAAAUAUGGAUAACCUUCAUCUGGCGAUGGAUGGAGAUAGAGACAGAGCCCCACAUUGCAUCAAUGGACUGAGCUCCCAAGGUCCAAAUGAGGAUCAGAAGGAGGGAGAACAUGAGCAAAGAAGUCAAGACCAUGAGGCGUGCACCCACCCACUGAGAUGUUGGGGCUGAUCUAAUGGGAGCUCACCAAGGCCAGCUGAACUGGGACUGAAAAAUCAUGGGAUAAAACUGGACUCUCUGAACAUGGCAGACAAUGAGGGCUGACUGAGAAGCCAAGGACAAUGGCACUGGGUUUUGAUCCUACCACAUGUACUGGCUUUGUGGGAGAUUAGUCUGCUUGGAUGCUCACCUUCCUAGACCUGGAUGGAGGGGGGAGGACCUUGGACUUCCCACAGGGCAGGGA